rnacentral:rRNA from 1 species
GACGAACGCUGGCGGCGUGCCUAAUACAUGCAAGUAGAACGCUGAAGGAGGAGCUUGCUCUUCUGGAUGAGUUGCGAACGGGUGAGUAACGCGUAGGUAACCUGCCUGGUAGUGGGGGAUAACUAUUGGAAACGAUAGCUAAUACCGCAUAAUAACAGUUGUUGCAUGACAACUGUUUGAAAGGUGCAAUUGCAUCACUACCAGAUGGACCUGCGUUGUAUUAGCUAGUUGGUGGGGUAACGGCUCACCAAGGCGACGAUACAUAGCCGACCUGAGAGGGUGAUCGGCCACACUGGGACUGAGACACGGCCCAGACUCCUACGGGAGGCAGCAGUAGGGAAUCUUCGGCAAUGGACGAAAGUCUGACCGAGCAACGCCGCGUGAGUGAAGAAGGGUGUCGGAUCGUAAAGCUCUGUUGUAAGAGAAGAACGAGUGUGAGAGUGGAAAGUUCACACUGUGACGGUAUCUUACCAGAAAGGGACGGCUAACUACGUG